rnacentral:rRNA from 1 species
GGGAGGUAGUGACAAUAAAUAACAAUACAGGGUUCUUUUGGAUCUUGUAAUUGGAAUGAGUACAAUUUAAAUCUCUUAACGAGGAACAAUUGGAGGGCAAGUCUGGUGCCAGCAGCCGCGGUAAUUCCAGCUCCAAUAGCGUAUAUUAAAGUUGUUGCAGUUAAAAAGCUCGUAGUUGAAUUUCGGGGUUAGUAGGUUGGUCGUGCCUAUGGUAUGUACUGGCUUUACUGAUUCCUCCUUCUUGAAGAACUGUAAUGUCAUUAAUUUGGUGUUGCAGGGAAACAGGACUGUUACUUUGAAAAAAUUAGAGUGUUUAAAGCAGGCUCACGCUUGAAUACAUUAGCAUGGAAUAAUGAAAUAGGACGUUUGAUUCUAUUUUGUUGGUUUCUAGGAUCGACGUAAUGAUUAAUAGGGAUAGUUGGG